UACAGAGGGUGCAAGCGUUGUUCGGAAUUACUGGGCGUAAAGCGUGCGUAGUCGGUAUUGAGAGUCACGGGUGAAAUCCCAGGGCUUAACCCUGGAACUGCCUGUGAGACCUCAGUACUAGAGCGUGAGAGGGGAUAGUGGAAUACCCAGUGUAGCGGUGAAAUUCGUAGAUAUUGGGAAGAACACCGAUGGCGAAGGCAGCCAUCUGGACCGACACUGACGCUGAGGCGCGAAAGCGUGGGGAGCAAACAGG
rnacentral:rRNA from 1 species